ACAUGUAUAUACACCAAAUAAAAAAUACAAACUAAUGUUUUCAUAAACAUGUAUAUUUUAUAGUUUGCAGACAAGUCUGCUAUAAUUGUGGGACACUAGACGAAACAAGCUGCACUUGCGCAUGUCAACAAGGCUUUAUAGGAGGAGACUGCUCAAGUCCAUGUGAAGACACUCACAGGUAUUGUGGGCAUGGCUGGUAUCGUCCACAGUGUAGUUACUAUCAGCCAGCAAUCAAUAAGUGCCCUAAAAUGUGCGGCUUUUGUGUUGAUCCAGAUCCUAAUUUCGUUUGUGAAAAUCCAUAAGAUUUGGAGAAAUGAAUCAACUGACACCCGCUACAGCUCAUCGCAUUUCCACUCAAUUUAACUUUUUGAUGAUAUCAUAAUUAUGCCUAUACUGGAGUUGAUUUUGCAGUAUCGAAAUAAAUAAUGAUGCAUUUUGAAA